rnacentral:rRNA from 1 species
CCAGACUCCUACGGGAGGCAGCAGUGAGGAAUAUUGGUCAAUGGGCUUACGCCUGAACCAGCCAAGUCGCGUGAGGGAAGACUGCCCUAUGGGUUGUAAACCUCUUUUGUCAGGGAGCAACGCCGGCUACGUGUAGCCGGACUGAGAGUACCUGAAGAAAAAGCAUCGGCUAACUCCGUGCCAGCAGCCGCGGUAAUACGGAGGAUGCGAGCGUUAUCCGGAUUUAUUGGGUUUAAAGGGUGCGUAGGCGGAUUUUUAAGUCAGCGGUAAAAUGUCCGGGCUCAACCCGGGCCGGCCGUUGAAACUGGGGAUCUUGAGUGGGCGAGAAGUAUGCGGAAUUCGUGGUGUAGCGGUGAAAUGCUUAGAUAUCACGAAGAACUCCGAUUGCGAAGGCAGCCUACUAAACUGCCACUGACAUUGAUGCUCGAAAGUGUGGGUAUCAAACAGGAUUAGAUACCCUGGUAC